rnacentral:lncRNA from 1 species
GCUUGGUUACAGGGGUUAAAAUAUGACCCAGACACAGGUAGAAAGAUAACGACUCACCGUGGAAGUGAACAGCAUAGGCCCAGUCUACUGCGGUUUCUGUUUAUUUUGUCUUCAGAUGAGUGACACCCCCCCCCCAGGAGACUUGAUCGCCUUUGAGGGAUUUGGCUGGUGACAGCUGUCGCAGGUGCCACCCUGUGGGCUACCCGUGAAUGAUUACCGGGGACCAAGCUUGAUGAGUCACCAAGAGGCCCAGAGGGCCUGCUUACACCCAGAGCGCCCGGCAGGCGGAGAUCCUGGAGGAGAAAAAGCCCCACAGUCCAAAACGCUCUGACUUUUUAUUAAGAAUAUCAAUAUAAGAGAGAAAAGCAAGAGAAAGGCAGUUUGGGCCAGCGGCGGUCUCAAGGCUGGGCAGUUUUCUUGGGGAAGGGGAUGGCCAAUGGCCCAGACACAGAAUGUGUAUUGUCGUUUAACCAUUGGAGUCUCACUCGGCCUGUGUGCUUUUUGUUAGGGAAUUGAUCAUGUUAAAUGAUGCUGUGACGCCGCCUCACAGGCUGCAUUCUCCUGGUACAUCUUGGCUCCUAAAAUGACCUCAUGCCCUUAUCUCUGGUUUCCCUCCCCCGCAAGGGCACAGUGGUCCAGGAAAGUUGAAACCUGUGUCUGCAGGACUGGGCCCAUAAAAGCAGUCUGGCCUGUGAUAGGUUAAAAGUAGCUCACUCCUCCUAAAUAAGCAAUAGCCCAGCCCAAAACUGAUAAAAGGACCUUCCUUUCUUUGUUCUCUGUCUCCUUCUGCUUCUUCUUCCUCCUCUCUCUCUCUCUCUGCCUUCCUGCCUCCUGCUCGCCUCCCUACAAUAAAGAUCUCCUGCCGGGCCCCUCGGUGCGUGAGUGGCCUAAUUGGGAAGGGGCACCCGAAAGGGCACGCGAACCCCCUUUCACUUUUGUCCCUCAGUUUAACGACUGACUUCUCAUAGAGCCUAUGGGACUUUGGUCCCGCAGGUCCACAGUUUACUCCUCCGCCAACUUCCUUACAAUGGGCUGAAGAAAGAGAAGCGGAAACAAUCCUGGGAGUACAGCUACAGUUUGACAAGACGCCAAAAACCACACCAGAACAGGCAGCCGGAUGCAGGUGCUGUCUCCCCCUGACAAGAGCCGCGCUCUCUCAGAGCAGACAGAACACAGAACGCCGGGUGGGAUGUUCCCAGCGCAGAGAUAACAGCUACAGAGUACAGCAUCUUUUCGCUGCCAAUAUACCCAAAAAUAUCAACACAUCUGCUUUGAUAAGCUGCGUGGACCCCGACCACAAACAUUGGCUCUGCCCUGUACACCACAGACACGCCAGACUCUGCCCUAUGAAGUUCCCUGCCUUUUGUUUGGAGCCGACAGGCUCUGCCCAGGUGAAUAAAGUCUGUGCCUGUCUUCACUAGCCUGCUUGGGUGGCCUCCUUACUCCAUAGUUGUUAGACUGGGAUUACAGGCGUGCACCCCCUUGCUCAGUUUUUUUUUUUUGGUUUUUUGUUUUUGUUUUGUUUUUCUUGGUCGUGAUGGGGAAGGUUAAUUAAAUCUAGGGCCAAUGAACUUGACAUUGCCAGUUUUUAGAUAGAAAUUCCCUAAAUGAUUAGCCUGCCUAUAUGUUGAGCUGAGCAGGGAUCUGACUAAAGUUCAAGUUAAUAAAGGAGAAUGCAAAAGGGGUAAUAAAUUCUGUGGUAGAGUACUUGCUUUGUCUGCAUGAGGCCCUGAGUUCAAAAGAUCAAGCUCUGUUCUUUUUAAAUUACCCGGUAGGCCCAAGUAGAGUCACCAAAUUCACUUUUUUAAGCCCUUGACUGCCUCAGAAGAAAACAAAAAUCAAGCUUCCAAUAAGUAACAGGUCAAAGACCUAGGAUUGGUGGUCCCUGACUGCUUCUCCCAAAAGAAAAAUUGAAUUUAUGUAGUCACGCUACACAUUGUGGAUAAAAAGAAACAUGUAAGUCAGGCCUGGUACCAGAUGCCUAUAAAUCGUAGCACUUGGGAAGCUGAGGCAGGAGGAUCACUGCAAGUUUAAAAUCAGCCUGGGCUAUGUAGUGAGUUUAAGUCCAACCUGAACUACACGAUGAGAUCUUGUUGCAAAAAAAAAGAAAAGGUAAGAAAUCUCUGACUUACUUUAGUUUUAUAACAACAAAAAUACCAAUAAUAACACUUUGAAGUUUUUUGUUUCUGUUUUGGUAUCAGGAAUCCAACUCUGACCCUUGCACCCCUGAGGCAGGCAGUGGAACUACUGAGUGAAAUCCCAGCAGCACUUGGAAGUUUUUAUGUCAUCGUUUAAAAGCUUUCAAAGAUUGCUGCCUAGGUAGUUUCAAGAUAAAAGGGGCAGGAUAAAAAAGAAUAUGUGUUGUGUACAUGUACCAACUCCCAGGAUGAACGGGAUAAAUGUGAUCGUUGUGUACUGAAAACAUACACUAAUAAAGUAAAAAAUAAAUUUAAAAAAUUUGAAGCCAAAGCUAUCACUAAAUCCAGGCUCAUCCACGGAAAGACCAAUGUCUGAGAGAUAAGUGUUGGGAGAAAGACAGCUUUCUUCACAGCCAAAGAAUGGAGGAGGAGCUUCCUCAGAUGUUGCAGACCAAGACCUAUGUGCGCCUCCACCCUCCGUGUGUGCGCCUCCACCUUCUCGGUGCGUGAGUGGCCUAAUUGGGAAGGGGCACCCGAAAGGGCACGCGAACCCCCUUUCACUUUUGUCCCUCAGUUUAACGACUGACUUCUCAUAGAGCCUAUGGGACUUUGGUCCCGCAGGUCCACAGUUUACUCCUCCGCCAACUUCCUUACAAUGGGCUGAAGAAAGAGAAGCGGAAACAAUCCUGGGAGUACAGGUGAGGAUAAUCCUGAGUACCUGAUUGUGUCCUGAGGUUGUAGACGUCUUAAAAUGCAAUUUUUUGUCGCAUGUCCAUAAUCCCAGUACUCAGGAGACUGAAAUCGGGAGGAUUGCUGCAAGUUUGAGGCCACCUCAGGCUACACGGUGAGUUCAGGUCAGCCUGAACCACACAGGAUGACCCUGUCUCAAAAACAAACAAAAAUAAAUAAACGAAAUAAGGUACGGUUUUUCCUCUCUCCCUCGCUUCAUCUCUUGGUCCCCUUCUCAUCUGCAAAGAAGCUAUCACCCUGUUUCCUAUGAUCUUUUAUUUUGCUCUUUAAUCUAUUUAUACGUGGGUAUUUUCUUUUAGAGAAACUAUGAAAUAUUUAAUUUUUGUGUAUCUGAUUUAUUUCACUUAACAUUAUGUUCUCAAGGUAUAUCCACUUCCUACAAAUGAUUCAAAUGUAUGCUUCUUUGUGGCAGAUUAGUAAUCCAUAGUGUAUGUAAGAAGUAAAAAUAUUUUUAAUUGAUCCAUAUUUCAUUAACCACUCUAAUAAGCUCCUGUUUUUUGUGGUCCUGGGGAUCGAACUCAGGACCUUGCGCUUGCGAGGCAGGUGGUGACACCACAGAGCUAAAUCCUCGGCCCUCUAUUAAAUUCGUAAUCUAAAGUGGGUGUGGUGGCCCAUACCUAGGAUCCCAGAAUUUGGGAGCCUGAGGCAGGAGGAUCACCAUGAGUUUGAGGCAAGCCUGGGCUACACAGUAAACUCAAGGCCAGCCUAAACUACACAGUGAGGUCCUGUCUAAAAAAAAAAAAAGAGUAAUAAGCCCUAAAUCUUAGCCUUAGCUCAGUCAACUAGCAGACAAGGACACACACAGAGGCUGUACAAAGACUCACCAGAGAUAAGGUUCUGGGGUAAGAUGUAAUUGCUAAACAAGUCUGGGAAUCCUGGGAAGCCAAAAGGCUAAAAAUAACCACAAAGAGAAAGACAGGGGAGCAGGGGUAAGAAGGGAAAGGGGGAGGCCAAUGGGUGUGGGAUGAAGUUGACCGCUCCGGACAGACUGUGCACCCCAGAUCCCAGCCCGUGGAGGUCAGGAGGGACUCCUGCG